rnacentral:lncRNA from 1 species
UAUAAAACGCAGUAUCAAAUAAGUAUCGGCUUUUGUACUACCUUUAAUCCACCUUUUAAGUACGACCUUGAAAAAACGUUAUUACAAAACGCAGUUUAUCGCAAGUCCUAUUACUAUCUGUAGUACAAAAGAUAAACCAUCGAGCCCCCUAGUUUAACUGCAGUACUUAGUCGACAAACGUCAAAUUCCGACAUUAUUUACUUUUGAGGUUAUUUGAUUUGUGAUGAAAAAAACGAAAGUGGAUAUAAAUAUGUGUGAUUUGGAAUACUUGGAUGUGUUAGAAUACUAUUGAGAGUGUCCGGGGACCCAACAGAAUGCGUCAUCGACAAAAUCUCUUCAAAUUACCUGACGACAAUUUUCGAUAUAAAUAUCGAUUUACGUUUUUCGAAAUAAUAGUCAAUUGAAUGCAUGAUGAUAAUCCAGGAUGAUCCUAUGAUGCUCAACUGGGCUCGCCAUAAAAUUCAAGACUAUUUUGGCGUUUUGCACGCCGUAUCUCUGCCAGUAAUAUGCAAUGUUUGUAAAAGACUGGAAGCUUGCUAAAAUGUACAAAAAUGCCUAGAUGAGAAAGGGAACAAGAUUGUGUGAUGAAGAACAGUGCCCAACAUGUAUCAGUGCAUUUGACUGUAUAAAUAGACACCGGAAUAAAAUAUAAUUUUCUACUUU